rnacentral:rRNA from 1 species
CUUCCUACGGGACGCAGCAGAGGGGAAUAUUGGGCAAUGGGCGCAAGCCUGACCCAGCAACGCCGCGUGAAGGAAGAAGGCUUUUGGGCUGUAAACUUCUUUUGUCAGGGACGAAGCAAGUGACGGUACCUGACGAAUAAGCCACGGCUAACUACGUGCCAGCAGCCGCGGUAAUACGUAGGUGGCAAGCGUUAUCAGGAUUUAUUGGGUGUAAAGGGCGUGUAGGAGGGAAUGCAAGUCAGAUGUGAAAACUAUGGGCUCAACCCAUAGUCGGCAUUUG